rnacentral:rRNA from 1 species
AUUGACUGUACAAAGGUAGCAUAAUCAUUGAUUUUUAAAGGAAAUCUGGAAUGAAAGGAUUAAUGNAAUAUAUACUGUCUCAUAUNUAUUAUAUGANUUAAAAAUUUNAUAAAAAUGUUAAAAUUUAUUUUUGGGACGAUAAGACCCUAUAGAAUUUUAUAUAGAAUAAAUUUUAUUUUAAUAUAAAAUAAAUUUUAUAUUUAAUUGGGAGAAUUAUUAAAUUNGAAAAAUUUUAAUUUUUAUAAACUUAAAUUAAAGAAAAUUAUUGAUUUNAAAUUUUUAAUUAUUAGAAUAAAUUACCUUAGGGAAAACAGCGUAAUAUUUUUUUAUAGAUCUUAUAGAAAAAAAUGAUUGCGACCUCGAUGUUGAAUUAAGAUAAAUUUUAAAUGCA